GACGAUCGCUGGCGGCGUGCUUAACACAUGCAAGUCGAACGGAAAGGCCCUGCUUUUGUGGGGUGCUCGAGUGGCGAACGGGUGAGUAACACGUGAGUAACCUGCCCUUGACUUUGGGAUAACUUCAGGAAACUGGGGCUAAUACCGGAUAGGAGCUCCUGCUGCAUGGUGGGGGUUGGAAAGUUUCGGCGGUUGGGGAUGGACUCGCGGCUUAUCAGCUUGUUGGUGGGGUAGUGGCUUACCAAGGCUUUGACGGGUAGCCGGCCUGAGAGGGUGACCGGCCACAUUGGGACUGAGAUACGGCCCAGACUCCUACGGGAGGCAGCAGUGGGGAAUAUUGCACAAUGGGCGGAAGCCUGAUGCAGCAACGCCGCGUGCGGGAUGACGGCCUUCGGGUUGUAACCCGCUUUCGCCUGUGACGAAGCGUGAGUGACGGUAAUGGGUAAAGAAGCACCGGCUAACUACGUG
rnacentral:rRNA from 1 species